AAAAUGGAUGACACACUUAAAAAAGGAAAGUCCUUUAAUCUAUAAAGGAUGGAAUCUAAAAAAUAAAACAAAUUUUCCAGCUCGGUACAACGACUACACCUUAAUGUUAAAAUAUUUUAAAAAAAGAUGAAGGUCUUUUUAGGACGUUAGUGAGGAGUGAAAUGGAGGGGUGGAGGAAUGGUGGCCCACUGCAUUGUAUGAGGUUCAUGUUCCUGAAAAAUGGCAUUAAAUGCAUUUAACUGAUAUUAUAGAAUGACAAGAAUGGCUCAAAUCAACUGGAAAAUGCUUUGUAUACACCAUAAAGUUGCUUUUUUUCCAUUCGAAAAUGCUCAAGGUCACACACUAACCCGCUGACACAUUCAAGGCUUAGCUCUACCAAGUGAAAAACUGCUGACUUGACUUUUUGCACACACGUUGUUGGUCCAACAAUCCGAUAAAGUCAACCGACAACACAAUGACAACUCAUUCAUUUCCUGCAGGCAUCGCACACCCAACAACUUCAAAGUGGUUUAUUUUUUCCAGUUUUUGUUGAAACAAAGCUCCAGCUGGUAAAUUGACCUCCGCCAUCUCGCUCUUAAAUCCAUCUCUCUGCCGUGUCCUCAGCUCAGGUCUGACAGUUAGUCUGAUGAAUCACUCUGCCUGCAGCUGGAAGGUUUGGGGCCAGACAGGAGUCUUAUGAUCCAUUUUUGCACAAGUAACUGAAAUGUGAGGAAAAACAAAACCUUCUGUUUGAGGAGAAAUCAGACUGUGCAAUUUCAGCUUAAUCAAAAAGUUUAAAAUCCAUUGUUAUUACCAGAGAGAACAAAACAAAACCCAAGUUUACCAAAAAGGGAUAAGAAAACAGGCAUCAAAGUGGGUAUAAGGAACAAAGUUGCUUCUCCAAAAGCAGAAAAGCCAUUUUUAGUCAUCAAACGGAUCGCUCCCAGUACUCCGAGCUGCAAACCCAAAGGUUUCUACGUUUCCGUUGCUGUUUUUUUUGUACAAAACAAACCAUCAGUCUUUGUUAUAACUUACCACCUCACUGCACCUCCUUCCUUUCUAAACUUUUAAGAACUGAAACAAAAACAUCUGCAGUUCCACGAGCACAUUCUCACGCAGAUCCCCCUCUGAAUGAGCAUGUCUGCGUCGGAGCACACAAUGGCAGAUGUGCCUGUUGGUGAAUUCAGCUCCCAGGAAUGAGGGACUGUUUGGAAGUGCCGCGCUGCACAGCCAGCAGAGAAAAGGCGUGUUGUACUCAGAGAACAAUCCCUGCGUUUGAGCCCCUCUGACCCUGCCUUGGCCCCCAAAUCAUUAAUGACCGGCAGAGGAAUGCGGGCUCAGAUGGACCAAAACAUAAAAGACAGCAGCUAUGUACUGUGAGUUUCUGCACACGCAUGCAAGCAUGCACAAAUGAGCAGAACCUACAGCUGUUCGCAGAACCGCUCACGAAAAGAGAAGUCGCAACAAGAAGGGAUAACAUCAGAGGCCUCAAACAGAGAAGGAUUUUCCCUAAUUCCUGAGAAGGAUACAGAGCUGCACACUUGUAGCCUUGGAGACGAGUGCGAAGUCUUUAUCCUCCCUCUCAGUUUGUCUCAUUUUCUCUCCGCCUCCGGGGCUCGUCUGCAGAACUGUACACAGACUGCCUCUAAACAAUAAUUCCUCCUCACUCCAUUGCCUUCUGCAUGUCUUCAAAUCCCCAGUCAAUCAAUCCUCCUUCGACAGGAAAUGAGCACAAGGGGCCAACAGAGGGUUUAACAGGACUAAUUAAAAUCAUCCAGGACACCCAUGAAUCCACAAGGAGGACCCACUCGACACCAACGGAGAUCCUUUAUGAUAUGAUUGACCUACUUCCUUGCGGGAAAGGAAAUCACCAGUCACCAGAAAAAAAAAACCGUGGACAGAUUCGGACACAAAGCCAGGAAGGAAGUGCAGAGGGCCGGAGAACAGAGGACGGCUGCUGGAAUGAGAGGCUUAGCCACGGGGAAAGAGUCUGUGGUUUCAUUUAGCUCCAGGGACACAGCAAAAGAAACUAUGUCAUUUAUGCACGGUAUAUGAUUUUACCUGGCAUGACAAAUUCAUAAAUUCUGAAAUGUUCAUGUUUUUAAAGACCCACUCUGAAUUUCUUUUGAGAUUUUUUUUAAAGCGUCCCCAGUGGUUUAGCCAAAAAACCUCUCCUGUUUUAGGACAUAGAUUCUGCAGAGCGGCAGUAGUUCAUCACCGCCAAGUUGUGGGCAGGACUGUUGGAUUGGAGCAACCCCGCCCCCCUUCCCCACCCAGUUACUGAACGUAGCAGAAAGCUUGCGGCAUUUUUUCCACAUCACAAAUAAGCUCUUUUUCAAACAGAUGUUUUUGUCCUCAUUCAUAACGAUUCGAAAAAGAAAUACCAAAAAAUUCAAUUUUGGGUUUAAUUUUCUUUAUACAUGUCCUCCGUCAUUAGGAAAACAAGAACAUGUUAAAACACCAAAAGGACAAAAAAAACCAGAAUUCUUCGGAGUGGGUCUUUAAAUAUUUAACCAUUUGGGGAUGUAGUACUUUUGAGGCUAAAAUCUUCAGUCAGGUUCUGAGAAAAUCCUGCAUUUGGCUUUAGGGACUAAACGUUGCUUUUGCUGCAUGUGUUCAUCAUUAACAUCUCUUUUCUCCAGAAUGCUGUUGAAAGUUUACCGACUGUGAGCAGUCGUAGCACACUGAGACAACACUGCAGGUCAACCUGUCAGAGUCAAUCAGGACUGUUAUGUAUGGCUGUGUGGCUACAACCGAGGUCAGCUGCAGCACUCGCUCUGUCAUCUGUCAACACCGCACACACCCUAAGAGGUUAUCCAUGAAGCAACAUCCACCCCCCAGGAGGAGUUACCUUUGUCACAGAACACCGUCAUCCAUCACUCAUAGGAGUGGACACCUCGCUGCUGAAGCCUAAGGAUUCCUGAAAGACAGAAGUGAUGGG